rnacentral:misc_RNA from 1 species
GGAGUAAAAGUCGUAACAAGGUUUCCGUAGGUGAACCUGCGGAAGGAUCAUUAAUGCAUAACCGAGGUGCGAGGGCUGUCGCUGACCCGAAAGGUCGUGCACGCCCGAGUGCCCUCACACACAUCCAUCUCACCCCUAUGUGCACCACCGCGUGGGUCCCCCUUUGGCUUGUUCGGAGGGGGGCUUACGUUUUCACACAAACUUUGUAUGCAGUGUAGAAUGUAUUUUUUGUUUUUGCGAUCACGCAAUCAAUACAACUUUCAACAACGGAUCUCUUGGCUCUC